UACGUAGGGAGCCAGCGUUGUCCGGAUUUACUGGGCGUAAAGAGCGCGUAGGCGGUUUGAUUAGCGGAGGGUGAAAUCCCGGGGCUCAACUCCGGGGCUGCUCUCCGAACUGUCAAACUAGAGUACGGGAGAGGACAGUGGAAUUCCUGGUGUAGCGGUGGAAUGCGUAAAUAUCAGGAGGAACACCCGUGGCGAAGGCUGCUGUCUGGAACGUGACUGACGCUGAGGCGCGAAAGCUAGGGGAGCGAAC
rnacentral:rRNA from 1 species